rnacentral:rRNA from 1 species
GCGAAAGGGAUUAGAUACCCCUGUAGUCCUGGCCGUAAACGAUGAACACUAGGUGUCGGGGGAAUCGACCCCCUCGGUGUCGUAGCCAACGCGUUAAGUGUUCCGCCUGGGGAGUACGCACGCAAGUGUGAAACUCAAAGGAAUUGACGGGGGCCCGCACAAGCGGUGGAGUAUGUGGUUUAAUUCGAUGCAACGCGAAGAACCUUACCAGGGUUUGACAUCCUGCGAAUCUCUUGGAAACAGGAGAGUGCCUUCGGGAACGCAGUGACAGGUGGUGCAUGGCUGUCGUCAGCUCGUGUCGUGAGAUGUUGGGUUAAGUCCCGCAACGAGCGCAACCCACGUCUUUAGUUGCCAGCAUUUAGUUGGGCACUCUAGAGAGACUGCCGGUGAUAAACCGGAGGAAGGUGUGGAUGACGUCAAGUCAUCAUGCCCCUUACAUCCUGGGCUACACACGUACUACAAUGCUACGGACAAAGGGCAGCAAGUUCGCGAGGACAAGCAAAUCCCAUAAACCGUGGCUCAGUUCAGAUCGUAGGCUGCAACUCGCCUACGUGAAGGCGGAAUCGCUAGUAAUCGCAGGUCAGCAUACUGCGGUGAAUACGUUCCCGGGCCUUGUACACACCGCCCGUCACACCAUGGAAGUUGGCCACGCCCGAAGCCGUUACUCCAACCCUUGUGGAGGAGGACGUCGAAGGUGGGGCUGAUGACUGGGGUGAAGUCGUAACAAGGUAACCGUA